UGACUCAACACGGGAAAACUUACCAGGUCCGAACAUAAGCGUGUAAGACAGAUUGAUAGCUCUUUCUCGAAUCUAUGGGUGGUGGUGCAUGGCCGUUCUUAGUUCGUGGAGUGAUUUGUCUGGUUAAUUCCGAUAACGAACGAGACUCAAAUAUAUUAAAUAGAUGCUUUCAGGAUUAUGAUCUGAAGCUUAUAUAGCCUUCAUUCAUGAGUAUACUAUGCGUGUACAAGUGUUUGAAUGUGUUUAUAUAAGUGGAGUCGUACCUGUUGGUUUGUCCCAUUAUAAGGACACUAGCUU
rnacentral:rRNA from 1 species